rnacentral:tRNA from 1 species
AAGAAAAGUCUGGGACAAAGGAAACUGCUAAUUUCCCUCACCCAUGGUUCAAAUCCAUGGUUUUCUUA